GUCCUCGUCAUCCAGUGGUUAGGAUCCGUGCCUUCUAUCGUAAGCACGUCACGCGAGUUCGAAUCUCGCCGGGGACU